UAACUGGGCGUAAAGGGCACGCAGGCGGUGACUUAAGUGAGGUGUGAAAGCCCCGGGCUUAACCUGGGAAUUGCAUUUCAUACUGGGUCGCUAGAGUACUUUAGGGAGGGGUAGAAUUCCACGUGUAGCGGUGAAAUGCGUAGAGAUGUGGAGGAAUACCGAAGGCGAAGGCAGCCCCUUGGGAAUGUACUGACGCUCAUGUGCGAAAGCGUGGGGAGCAAACAGGAUUAGAUACCCUGGUAGUCCACGCUGUAAACGCUGUCGAUUUGGGGAUUGGGCUUUAAGCUUGGUGCCCGUAGCUAACGUGAUAAAUCGACCGCCUGGGGAGUACGGCCGCAAGGUUAAAACUCAAAUGAAUUGACGGGGGCCCGCACAAGCGGUGGAGCAUGUGGUUUAAUUCGAUGCAACGCGAAGAACCUUACCUACUCUUGACAUCCAUGGAAUCUUGUAGAGAUACGGGAGUGCCUUCGGGAACCAUGAGACAGGUGCUGCAUGGCUGUCGUCAGCUCGUGUCGUGAGAAG
rnacentral:rRNA from 1 species